UACGGGGGGGGCAAGCGUUGUUCGGAAUUACUGGGCGUAAAGGGCUAGUAGGCGGCCAACUAAGUCAGACGUGAAAUCCCUCGGCUUAACCGGGGAACUGCGUCUGAUACUGGAUGGCUUGAGUUCGGGAGAGGGAUGCGGAAUUCCAGGUGUAGCGGUGAAAUGCGUAGAUAUCUGGAGGAACACCGGUGGCGAAGGCGGCAUCCUGGACCGAUACUGACGCUGAGGAGCGAAAGCCAGGGGAGUAAACGGG
rnacentral:rRNA from 1 species